UACGUAGGCAGCGAGCGUUGUUCGGAAUUACUGGGCGUAAAGAGUGUGUAGGCGGUGUUCCCAGUCUGUUGUGAAAUCCUCCAGCUUAACUGGAGAAGUGCCGUGGAUACUGCGAACCUGGAGGAGGGUAGGGGCAUCUGGAACGCUGGGUGGAGCGGUGAAAUGCGUUGAUAUCCAGCGGAACUCCGGUGGCGAAGGCGAGGUGCUGGACCCUUUCUGACGCUGAGUGCGCGAAAGCCAGGGGAGCAAACGGG
rnacentral:rRNA from 1 species